rnacentral:rRNA from 1 species
AAAUUGAAGAGUUUGAUCAUGGCUCAGAUUGAACGCUGGCGGCAGGCCUAACACAUGCAAGUCGAACGGUAACAGGAAGCAGCUUGCUGCUUUGCUGACGAGUGGCGGACGGGUGAGUAAUGUCUGGGAAACUGCCUGAUGGAGGGGGAUAACUACUGGAAACGGUAGCUAAUACCGCAUAACGUCGCAAGACCAAAGAGGGGGACCUUCGGGCCUCUUGCCAUCGGAUGUGCCCAGAUGGGAUUAGCUUGUUGGUGGGGUAACGGCUCACCAAGGCGACGAUCCCUAGCUGGUCUGAGAGGAUGACCAGCCACACUGGAACUGAGACACGGUCCAGACUCCUACGGGAGGCAGCAGUGGGGAAUAUUGCACAAUGGGCGCAAGCCUGAUGCAGCCAUGCCGCGUGUAUGAAGAAGGCCUUCGGGUUGUAAAGUACUUUCAGCGGGGAGGAAGGGAGUAAAGUU